ensembl:lncRNA novel transcript
GGGCCUCAAUGGAUUCUGACCCAUGGAUUUGUUCCUGAGGGAAGAAUGCAUGUUGCAUUUUGCCAAGUUGCUCUCAGCUUUUUCCUGCCUGUAUGCCAUCUUUCUGCAAACUACCAGCGCUGGCCGCCUCGCACAGCGAUAAUCAGCCUGUCAGUCAAUAAACUGAAGAUGUUGGUGGUGUGCUGGGGUUGGUGGCCAGCAGUGAGAGCCCUGAGAGUUAUAAAUUCAAGAUGAGAAUUGAGAUGUUGCCAAGGCUUCACAGAGUCCCUGAUUUACUAGGAAAUUGUUCCCUAGCCUUGACUGCUGGCCCUGUUAUGCAAGGGACUUUGUGUGGGCUGGGGGGAUGGUUGAAGGAAAGACAAAAAAUAAAAGACCAGAAGCCAGUGUUUAGGCACAGUGGAUAGGACAUUCCCUACCCCACUGCAUUUGGUCACCUAUGGUCUGCUAUUU